AGUGAACGCUGGCGGUAGGCCUAACACAUGCAAGUCGAACGGCAGCACAGAGGAGCUUGCUCCUUGGGUGGCGAGUGGCGGACGGGUGAGGAAUACAUCGGAAUCUACUCUGUCGUGGGGGAUAACGUAGGGAAACUUACGCUAAUACCGCAUACGACCUACGGGUGAAAGCAGGGGAUCUUCGGACCUUGCGCGAUUGAAUGAGCCGAUGUCGGAUGAGCUAGUUGGCGGGGUAAAGGCCCACCAAGGCGACGAUCCGUAGCUGGUCUGAGAGGAUGAUCAGCCACACUGGAACUGAGACACGGUCCAGACUCCUACGGGAGGCAGCAGUGGGGAAUAUUGGACAAUGGGUGCAAGCCUGAUCCAGCCAUACCGCGUGGGUGAAGAAGGCCUUCGGGUUGUAAAGCCCUUUUGUUGGGAAAGAAAUCCAUCUGGCUAAUACCCGGGUGGGAUGACGGUACCCAAAGAAUAAGCACCGGCUAACUUCGUGCCAGCCGCCGCCGUAA
rnacentral:rRNA from 1 species